GCGCAGCAGGCGCGAAACCUCUGCAAUAGGCGAAAGCCUGACAGGGUUACUCUGAGUGACUUUCGUUAAGAGAGUCUUUUGGCACCUCUAAAAAGGGUGUAGAAUAAGGGGUGGGCAAGUCUGGUGUCAGCCGCCGCGGUAAUACCAGCACCCCGAGUGGUCGGGACGAUUAUUGGGCCUAAAGCAUCCGUAGCCGGUUCUGCAAGUCCUCCGUUAAAUCCAACUGCUUAACAGAUGGGCCGCGGAGGAUACUACAGAGCUAGGAGGCAGGAGAGGCAAGCGGUACUCAGUGGGUAGGGGUAAAAUCCGUUGAUCCAUUGAAGACCACCAGUGGCGAAGGCGGCUUGCCAGAAUGCGCUCGACGGUGAGGGAUGAAAGCUGGGGGAGCAAACCGGAUUAGAUACCCCGGUAGUCC
rnacentral:rRNA from 1 species